rnacentral:lncRNA from 1 species
UGUUCUUGCUCUUGAGGCUUUCGAAUCAGAACUUGAUAAAAUUAUGAUUUUGCCUCUGAAAUAUAAUAAAUCUUUUUCCAAGUCAAAAUCAUUAAUAACCUCCUCAAAUAUUUUGUAAUCAUCAAAAUCAAUUCAUGGAGCAACAAGAACAUUAGGAACUUGCAUGUAACAGCAUUUUUGUUUUGCACAUUACAUGAGUGAUUUAUUUACUUAUUUAUCAAUAUUUGGAUGAGUUGAUAAUUUAUUUACAAUGUAAAUUUUGAGACAUCAUAGAUUUAAGAAUAG